GACGAACGCUGGCGGCGUGCCUAAUACAUGCAAGUAGAACGCUGAAGGAGGAGCUUGCUUCUCUGGAUGAGUUGCGAACGGGUGAGUAACGCGUAGGUAACCUGCCUGGUAGCGGGGGAUAACUAUUGGAAACGAUAGCUAAUACCGCAUAAGAGUAGAUGUUGCAUGACAUUUGCUUAAAAGGUGCAAUUGCAUCACUACCAGAUGGACCUGCGUUGUAUUAGCUAGUUGGUGGGGUAACGGCUCACCAAGGCGACGAUACAUAGCCGACCUGAGAGGGUGAUCGGCCACACUGGGACUGAGACACGGCCCAGACUCCUACGGGAGGCAGCAGUAGGGAAUCUUCGGCAAUGGACGGAAGUCUGACCGAGCAACGUCGCGUGAGUGAAGAAGGUUUUCGGAUCGUAAAGCUCUGUUGUAAGAGAAGAACGAGUGUGAGAGUGGAAAGUUCACACUGUGACGGUAUCUUACCAGAAAGGGACGGCUAACUACGUG
rnacentral:rRNA from 1 species